rnacentral:rRNA from 1 species
GAUGAACGCUAGCGGCAGGCUUAACACAUGCAAGUCGAGGGGUAUAGGUUUUCGGACCUAGAGACCGGCGCACGGGUGCGUAACGCGUAUGCAAUCUACCUUGUACAGGGGGAUAGCCCAGAGAAAUUUGGAUUAAUACCCCAUAGUAUUAUAGAAUGGCAUCAUUUUACAAUUAAAGUUCCAACGGUACAAGAUGAGCAUGCGUCCCAUUAGCUAGUUGGUAUGGUAACGGCAUACCAAGGCUACGAUGGGUAGGGGUCCUGAGAGGGAGAUCCCCCACACGGGUACUGAGACACGGACCAGACGCCGACGGGAGGCAGAAGUGAGGAAUAUUGGUCAAUGGACGCAAGUCUGAACCAGCCAUGCCGCGUGCAGGAUGACGGUCCUAUGGAUUGUAAACUGCUUUUGUACAGGAAGAAACACUCCUACGUGUAGGAACUUGACGGUACUGUAAGAAUAAGGAUCGGCUAACUCCGUGCCAGCAGCCGCGGUAA